rnacentral:rRNA from 1 species
CAGCACCUCAAGUGGUCAGGAUGAUUAUUGGGCCUAAAGCAUCCGUAGCCGGCGCUGUAAGUUUUCGGUUAAAUCUGUACGCUCAACGUACAGGCUGCCGGGAAUACUGCAGCGCUAGGGAGUGGGAGAGGUAGACGGUACUCGGUAGGAAGGGGUAAAAUCCUUUGAUCUAUUGAUGACCACCUGUGGCGACGGCGGUCUACCAGAACACGUCCGACGGUGAGGGAUGAAAGCUGGGGGAGCGAACCGGAUUAGAUACCCGAGUAGUCC